CCACCUGCGUGCCGACCUCCCGCUCACAGUUCUUGGGACUGUUGCCUGUCUGCCCCACUCCUGACUAGCCCUUUUCUUCAGGCUAGAUCUCCUGCUCAUCCUCCUCACCAGUUGUUUGCUACAGGUUUAACUGGUUUUCCAGAUCACCUGUCAGAGUCAAGCUCAGCAGACAGGCUGGGCCCUCACCAGAUAAACUUCUGUACCCUACCUCUGGCGUCUUGUAACAGUAAUAACUGUGUUAACAAUAUGACGACAUGGAUCCUGUUGUUCCAUGCUCAUAACAGCCGUGCGAAGUUUGUCGGAGUGUACACGUAUGCUGAGACACUCUGCUUCGUCAACUUGGUUACUUCCUGUGCUGUGGAUCAGAGAAGUUGUCCUGGAGAUGUCCUCCGACUGCAAGAGAAGUCAUCAUCUGUGUCCUGAGAAGUCAGCAAGCAUCCUUGGCUAAGCCUCAGAGAUGCAGCAGCCACAGCCAGGAGAAGUGUGCGGGCUUGCAGAAAAGUCCAGAAGCUGCAUUUCAUCAAGGCCAGGCUUGGGGUGAAGGCAGUGGGUUAUGUUGUGUGAGGGAAGGGUUAGAUCCCAUCAUUGUUUUAGUUAUUACAAUUUGAUGUUCCUUUCAUCAUGAUUUCUUUACAUUAAUUUUGGAUUUUUAAAAAUAUUGCACUAAAGUAUUAUUUACCUUGAUUACUCGUAUUUUGGCCUUCCCUUCCAUUUGGCAUCUGAGGGGUGCAUCUCACUUUGUUCACCCCAGUCCCAGCCCUGUGAGGAAGCAGCAGUUUCUGGACUUUUCUGCAAACCCCAUACUUUGUGCAUGGGAACUUACCCCCUCAGUUGGUUUUUCUCUUGCAUCUGGGAGAGCCAGGAGCUCAGGAGCUGGAGCCCAGAGUGUGUCUGCCUCCAAUAAAUUCUCUUCCAGAGCCUCCUUCA
rnacentral:lncRNA from 12 species